GAUGAACGCUAGCGGCAGGCCUAACACAUGCAAGUCGAGGGGUAGAGUUCUUCGGGUCUAGUGGCGCACGGGUGCGUAACGCGUGGGAAUCUGCCCUUAGGUUCGGAAUAACUUCGGGAAACUGAAGCUAAUACCGGAUGAUGACGUAAGUCCAAAGAUUUAUCGCCUAAGGAUGAGCCCGCGUUGGAUUAGCUAGUUGGUGAGGUAAAGGCUCACCAAGGCGACGAUCCAUAGCUGGUCUGAGAGGAUGAUCAGCCACAUUGGGACUGAGACACGGCCCAAACUCCUACGGGAGGCAGCAGUGGGGAAUAUUGGACAAUGGGCGCAAGCCUGAUCCAGCCAUGCCGCGUGAGUGAUGAAGGCCCUAGGGUUGUAAAGCUCUUUCACCGGUGAAGAUAAUGACGGUAACCGGAGAAGAAGCCCGGCUAACUUCGUGCCAGCAGCCGCGGU
rnacentral:rRNA from 1 species